rnacentral:lncRNA from 1 species
GAGAACGACAGCAAUGGCAGUGCGUAUUUUGUAAAGUGCAAAAGCAUGUGCGAAUAUCGGGCCAGUUAGCCACUGAUAGGCACGCAGAUCAUGUUGAAUAUGCACGUCGGUGGCGACUAAAGUUACG